AAAGUCGUAAACAAAGGUUUCCGUAGGUGAACCUGCGGAAGGAUCAUUACAAAUAAAAGCUGGUAGGAAGUGGGGUCUUGAUCCAGUAAGUGGUAGAGCGAACAGUCCGGCUGCCUCCCGAAAUGUCUUACAUGUCCCCCACAGCCUGAAGGCCGUAUUACAACCCUUGAAUUAUCUACACUUGUUGCUUUGGGGUGCUCAAGUGCCCCGGAGACCCCAACUCUCAUUGCAUUUAGUGACGUCUGAGUACUAUAUAAUAUUAAAA
rnacentral:misc_RNA from 1 species